rnacentral:rRNA from 1 species
GGAGUCUGGUCCGUGUCUCAGUACCAGUGUGGGGGACCUUCCUCUCAGAACCCCUACGCAUCGUAGCCUUGGUGGGCCGUUGCCCCGCCAACCAGCUAAUGCGCCGCAUGCCCAUCCCCUACCGACUCGUCUUUCCCCGCAGCGCGAUGCCGCGCCGCGGACUACGGGGCAUUAGGCCAAAUUUCUCUGGGUUAUUCCCCUGUAGGGGGCAGGUUGCAUACGUGUUACUCACCAGUGCGCCGGUCGCCGUCGGGUGGUGUUGCCACCUCCCACGCUGCCCCUCGACUUGCAUGUGUUAAGCCUGUCGCUAGCGUUCAUC